rnacentral:rRNA from 1 species
GCUCGUGCGGGAAGGGUCAGUCAGGACCUAAGAUGAGGCCAAAAGGCAUAAUUGAUGGCAAGAAGGUUUAUAUUCCUUCACUAGUCUAGGCUUAGUCCUGAAGGACGAACAAAUACCAAACUACACAACAGCCAUACUUGGCAGUUUGGAUAAAACCAUUGGGGUCUGUUGGUAUUUUUUCCAAGAAAAGCUCAUUCGACUUUGAGUCUAGACUACCUGUACCGUAAACCGACACAGGUGAGUGGGUUGAAUAAACUAAGGGGAGCGAGAUAACUCUCUCUAAGGAACUCGGCAAAUUGGCUCUGUACCUUCGGAAGAAAGAGUGCCCCUCAGGGGGCCACAGUAAAGAGAUCCAGGCGACUGUUUACCAAAAACACAGGUCUCCGCAAAGUCGUAAGACGACGUAUGGGGGCUGACACCUGCCCAGUGCCAGAAGGUUAAAGAAGUUGGUCAAUCUUUGAUGAAGCUAACAACUGAAGCCCUGGUGAACGGCGGCAGUAACUAUAACUGUCCUAAGGUAGCGAAAUUCCUUGUCGGGUAAGUUCCGACCCGCACGAAAGGUGUAACGAUCUGGAUACUGUCUCAGAGAGAGACUCGGUGAAAUAAAACUAGCUGUGAAGAUGCGGCUUACCUGCACACGGACAGAAAGACCCUAUGAAGCUUUACUGUAACCUGGAAUUGCUUUCAAGCUUAUUUUGCGCAGCUUAGGUGGGAGGCUACGAACCUUUUCUUCCGGGAAGAGGGGAGCCAUCAGUGAGAUACCACUCUUGGUAAGCUAGAAAGCUCAGUCUUAACCGUUAUCCGGUAAGAUGACAGUUUCAGGCGGGCAGUUUGACUGGGGCAGUCACCUCCCAAAAGGUAAUGGAGGUGCACAAAGGUUCCCUCAGGUUGGACGGAAAUCAACCAUAGAGUGUAAAAGCAUAAGGGAGCUUGACUGCGAGACUGACAUGUCAAGCAGAGACGAAAGUCGGUUUUAGUGAUCCGACGGUGCUGCGUGGAAAGGCCGUCGCUCAACGGAUAAAAGUUACUCUAGGGAUAACAGGCUAAUCUCCCCCAAGAGUUCACAUCGACGGGGAGGUUUGGCACCUCGAUGUCGGCUCGUCGCAUCCUGGAGCGGAAGUACGUUCCAAGGGUUGGGCUGUUCGCCCAUAGAAAGCGGCACGCGAGCUGGGUUCAGAACGUCGUGAGACAGUUUGGUCCAUAUCCUGUGUAGGCGUUUAGAGCAUUGAAAGGAUCUCCCCUUUGUACGAGAGGACCAGGUGGGGACAGACCUCUAGUGUACCAGUUAUUCCGCCAGGGGUAAACGCUGGGUAGCUAUGUCUGGAGUAAAUAACUGCUGAAAGCAUAUAAGUAGGAAGUUCACCUUAAGAUGAGUGCUCUUUUGUCUCAAACGAUCAACCUUCUAUGAAGGAUUGACAAAUGAAAGACAAGGAAGGUCACGGCAAGACGAGCCGUUUGAUAGGCAUGAAGUAGAAGUGCAGUAAUGCAUUCUGAAGCUGACAUGUGCUAAUAGACCGAGGGAUUUGAUUUU